GUUGGCUGGGGAUCAGCUAGUUGGCUGACGUAGGCUGGGUUCUGCUUGGCAGCUCUGCUUUAAGCUAUGGGUCCAACUGAUGCUGUCACCCUACUAAGGUCGGGGCUUCUCUUCUGCACAUGGGUUCAUUCUGGGUCACAGAGUGAGGGGGCAGCAGCUUCCCAGGACAAAUUCUGCUUGGAGUGAUGGCAGAGGCUCAGCAGUGCAGGUGGAAACCUUCAAAACCUCUGAAGGCUUUGGCUUGGACACUAUCACUUCCACCCAUAUACAAUUGACGAAAGCAACUCACCUGUUCAUGAUCAAAGCCAAGAGUCAGAGAAAUGUACUCUGCUCAUGCUGAUGCCAUUGCCCACAUAUGAAUAAAGGGAGGGAUGAAGAACUGGACCAGCGAAGCAAUCUGCUGUGGCUAGGCUCAGAGAGGAAAGAGAGCUACAGGCAACGUUCUAACAGAAGGUGGCAAGUCCAAGAAACAGAGAGUUGUCCAGAAAGACAGAAGCUCACACAGGGUGAUAAUUCGUAUCUGGCUGUGGAUGUCCCUGUGAGCUGAGAUCCAAAGGAGAAAAGGCGAACAUAUGUCAAGCCUGAUGAUGUGGUGGCAUGGGAGGAGCCUGGAACAGGAGCGGGGAACCAGGCUCGGCCCUGGAUUUGCUGUGUGACCUUGGAAGUCAUUAAGUUCUCCUGGCCCAGCUCUUUCUCAAGAGGAUUCAUGUAGUGAUUACUAACACAUUAGAAAAUGGAUCAUUUGGCAGCAGUUCUCAGCCAAGUAAGUUUCAUAGAGGUGGACAAAUGAGACUUUGGGGGGAAAAUGACUUAGGAAAAGUCUACGUGAGAUUCUGAUCCUUUUUAUCCCAUUUCUCUCCCCAACAGACACAAACACACACAUACAUAUAGACACAUACACACUCAUAACACACAUACACUCAUACCUACAUGCACAUAACAGGGAAUACAUGCAGUUCUUGUUAAAUCUCUAACAUUACUUGG
rnacentral:lncRNA from 1 species